rnacentral:rRNA from 1 species
GGAUUAGGCAUGCAAGUCGAACGAGGAUAUAUCCUUCGGGAUAUAAGCCGAGUGGCGCAAGGGUGAGUAAUGCAUAGAUUACCUGCCUCUAGGAUAAGGACAACUUUGUGAAAACGAAGCUAAUACUUAAUAAUACAAGAGAAAAUAAUUUUUUCUUGUCAAUGGGAGGGUAGCAAUAUCUUUUGCCUAGAGAGGGGUUUAUGUCCUAUCAGCUUGUUGGUGGGGUAAUGGCCUACCAAGGCGAAGACGGGUAGCCGGUCUUAGAGGAUGGUCGGCCACACUGGGACUGAGACACUGCCCAGACUUCUACGGAAGGCUGCAGUCGAGAAUCUUUCGCAAUGCCCGAAAGGAA